rnacentral:rRNA from 1 species
UUGCAGGCUGCAACUCGCCUGCAUGAAGUUGGAAUUGCUAGUAAUCGCGAAUCAGAAUGUCGCGGCGAAUACGUUCCCGGGCCUUGUACACACCGCCCGUCACACCAUGAGAGUCGAUAACACCCGAAGCCUGUGAGCUAACCUUUUUAGGAGGCAGCAGUCGAAGGUGGGGUUGAUGAUUGGGGGUGAAGUCGUAACAAGGUAGC